GGUUUAUGUUCUAAAAUAGAGCUGACGAUGAUGCUUCCCCAUUAAAUCUGUUAUCAAAUGUUGUUGGUAAUGCUCUUGGCAUUUGCUGAAUAGCUCCUGCAUUGCUCUGAAUCCGAUUCACCUCUACUUGUUAAAUGGAACCUUGUGUCCUGUGAACAGAAUCUCUAUUUCUAGCCAAGGACUUCUUUCAUAGAAUUGGCUGGCAAGCUCUCACAAUAAUCUCAUAAGAACAAAGGAAUUGAGGAAAGAAUACACUCCCAAGCAUUUCAAGCUAUUCUGAACAAGCAUAUAUAAUUCAUUGUUAAAGCUAUGCCAAGACAAACCUAGCAAACAUAUUAAUGCAUGAAGAGAAGGGAAAAAAGAAAACAAGAGACAAAACUGACCUUGGUAGUUUAUUACAGAAGGAGAAGACUUGCAUUGGAGCUCUCCAUCCAUACCAAAACCAGCAAACUCACUUUCCAAAAUAGGAAAUCUCUCCUUUACAUCCUCUCUUUCACUCCAAAAACCUCUCACCCUCUUCUCACUGUCAAAGAUAAUACACCAUGAUCACCAUAGACCAAAAGCAAGCAAUUUCCACAUGGAAUUCUAUACAUAAAACCAACAUAAGCACAAAAGUAAAAGGCCAAAUGAGAAACAACUGCAAUAU